GAAAAGACAAACCCUGGGUUUCUGUGUGCAACUUUGACUAUCCGUCUUAUAUAAUUUUUUUUUAUAAUUCGUAUUUUCAUUGUUGUUAGAUAAUAAAACAUGAUUAAUAUUUUAUGCGUGACUUGUCUUUUUAAUUUUUUUCAUAAUUUUUUCAAAUAAGACGGACGGUCGUUGGGCACAGAAACCAGGGUUUAUCUUUUU
rfam:Oryza barthii chromosome 7, whole genome shotgun sequence.